GCCGGAUUAGCUCAGCCGGUAGAGCACCCGCCUUGUAAGCGGAAGGUCGUCAGUUCGAUCCUGACAUCCGGCUCCA
rnacentral:tRNA from 1 species